GCCUGGGUGGCUCAGUUGAUUAGGGUGUGGUGCUGAUAAUGGCAAGGUUGCAGGUUCGAUCCCCGUAUGGGGCG